GACGAACGCUGGCGGCGUGCUUAACACAUGCAAGUCGAGCGGUAAGGCCCUUUCGGGGGUACACGAGCGGCGAACGGGUGAGUAACACGUGGGUGACCUGCCCUCAGCUCUGGGAUAAGCCUGGGAAACCGGGUCUAAUACUGGAUAUGACUCCAUGACGCAUGUUGUGGGGUGGAAAGCCUUGUGCGGCUGAGGAUGGGCCCGCGGCCUAUCAGCUUGUUGGUGGGGUGANGGCCUACCAAGGCGACGACGGGUAGCCGGCCUGAGAGGGCGACCGGCCACACUGGGACUGAGACACGGCCCAGACUCCUACGGGAGGCAGCAGUGGGGAAUAUUGCGCAAUGGAGGCAACUCUGACGCAGCCAUGCCGCGUGCAGGAAGAAGG
rnacentral:rRNA from 1 species